AUUCCACGACUGUUAGCUGUCUCUGUCCAUCUGGGAGGCAGUUGAGUGUGGUUCCUUUGUGCAGCAAGAGACCAGUGUUGUCAAGGAGGGUGUAUACCCUCUAAUUGAAUUUGUAUGUCUGGUAUCCUGCAUAUCCAGAGUCACCAACUUACCUGGAUCCGGAUCCAGUCCGAUCCUGUGUUCCUCUUGCCUCAGUCCGAAAUAUGUCGUCAGGUGAUUUAAGGUCCAGGCCCUCCGAACACCAGCUAUGAAAGAAACAGCAUUUUAACAUCAUCUGCCCAGAAGCCUCUGACAAAUUCUUCCCCCUCCUCCGAGCACACCCCGUCCCUGCUCCUCCUCCUCCUCCCUUUCAGCGCCACCUGAAUGCCGGGGGAAGCACCCACAGAAAAGCCACACAAAAGGUGAAGCGAUGGAUAUGUGUAUCAGGACCAACAUGAAGGCAGAACACCCUAUUGCUUCUUGUUGAAGUUUUCAUGCCCUUUUGGAACUUUGUCGAGAAAGGCAGCUAACGGUCAGCACAGAACUGGUUCAAACAAGUUCCAGCAGGGGAGCUGCUAGUUCUACCUCAGAACCUUGAUGUGCUUGUGCCUAUUUAAACUCUGAGCACCUGCUGCCUAGUUGCUGUCCGUCCUAGGGGCAGCCACGGUACUGUUGUGCUUGUGCGGCAACAUGGACCAGAAGAUCAUCACCUGCAAAGUAAAGGAAGACAUCAGCAUUAAGAACUAUGACUGUGCUUACCAAUAUCUGAAUUCCACAUGAUGUUCGGAGAAAGAUAACAGUUUAGUCUGAAGGUGAAGGGAGAGGGAAGAGCUGAUGAAAGUUGCUGAUGAAAGAACAUCUGGAGCCUGAGGAAAGAAAGCCUUGAGACCUUCAACAGCAUCUAUUACAACAUUCCGCAUUAAAGUGAUUUUUUUUGCCUUGAUAACACAUUUAAUGCUAUUGCAAACUGUGAAGUUGUUGAGUCCCAAAUUUAACCUGCCUUUAAAGUUGCAUGUAUAGCCCUAACUCUGCUCCACUUACA